rnacentral:rRNA from 1 species
GCUUGUCUCAAAGAUUAAGCCAUGCAUGUCUUAGUGUAAAUAACUCUUAUGAAACUGCGAAUGGCUCAUUAAAUCAGUUAUCAAAUACGUGAUGGUCGCCUACUACAUGGAUAACCGUAGUAAUUCUAGAGCUAAUACAUGCACAAAGGCCCACUCACGUGGGUUGUGAUUAUUAGAUGGAAACCAAUGCGGGGCAACCCGGAUACUGGUGAUUCAUAAUAAUUUUCGGAUCGAUCGUAGGAUCGAUGCAUCAUUCAAGUUUCUGCCCUAUCAGCUUUGGAUGGUAGGGUAUUGGCCUACCAUGGCAUUAACGGGUAACGGAGAAUUAGGGUUCGAUUCCGGAGAGGGAGCCUGAGAAAUGGCUACCACAUCCAAGGAAGGCAGCAGG